AGCCACUUCACAAGGAUUGCCUUGAGAUUGCCCAAACUUAGGAGGCAGCAUUUGCUUUUUGCUGCUGAAGACAUGAGAGUCUACAGGGAAGUGUCCAUAAUGGACUCCUUUUUAUGAAGCCUUCUCUGGCAAAAGGAAACUGCCAGUAAAUACCGCCAAGAAAGUUACCUGUUGUGGGUAAGGCGUUGUUCUGAGUUUUGCCUUCAUUUUGUUACUUUUGGGUUUUACUAUUUUCCUUGUUUCCUGCGAGGUAGAUACUGAGUUUCU